GAAGUAGCUCAGUGGUAGAGCUGCUGCUCUGCAUGCAGAAGGUCUCAGGUUCAAUCCUCAGCAUCUCCA